rnacentral:rRNA from 1 species
AACGAACGCUGGCGGCAUGCCUAACACAUGCAAGUCGAACGAGACCUUCGGGUCUAGUGGCGCACGGGUGCGUAACGCGUGGGAAUCUACCCUCAGGUUCGGAAUAACUCAGAGAAAUUUGAGCUAAUACCGGAUGAUGACGUAAGUCCAAAGAUUUAUCGCCUGAGGAUGAGCCCGCGUAGGAUUAGGUAAUUGGUGAGGUAAAGGCUCACCAAGCCGACGAUCCUUAGCUGGUCUGAGAGGAUGAUCAGCCACACUGGGACUGAGACACGGCCCAGACUCCUACGGGAGGCAGCAGUGGGGAAUAUUGGACAAUGGGCGAAAGCCUGAUCCAGCAAUGCCGCGUGAGUGAUGAAGGCCUUAGGGUUGUAAAGCUCUUUUACCCGGGAUGAUAAUGACAGUACCGGGAGAAUAAGCUCCGGCUAACUCCGUG